rnacentral:tRNA from 1 species
GCCGCGAUAGCUCAGUUGGCAGAGCGUCGCCAUGGUAAGGCGAAGGUCACCGGUUCAAACCCGGUUCGCGGCUCCA